GCGCCGUUUCGCAGUGACGAUGUGGGAUGCAACAACGACGUCCCCUGACUUGAGCGACGGAUUGAGACCGCCGGCGACGCCGAAGCUCACGAUGCCGCGAAUGCUCGCCGGAUCAAACGACGUCAUCAUCUCGCGUAAUUGAACUGGAUUGCUUGAACUGCAGAUGACGGUGAGACCGGGGCCGGCAGCGAUGCGGGCCUCCUG
rnacentral:misc_RNA from 1 species